rnacentral:lncRNA from 1 species
AGGAUGUGGCUCAAACGGCAGUUACUUAAACUCUGAGCCCCAGGUUCUCAGCGGAUCUGCUUCUUUGCACCUCGUCCAUCCUUCCUCUUGGAAAUCUG